rnacentral:rRNA from 1 species
CGCAGCCUGAUGCAGCACGCCGCGUGCGGGAAGACAGCCCUAGGGUUGUAAACCGCUUUCAGUAGGGAAGAAAAUGACGGUACCUACAGAAGAAGGUGCGGCCAACUACGUGCCAGCAGCCGCGGUGACACGUAGGCACCAAGCGUUAUCCGGAUUUAUUGGGCGUAAAGAGCUCGUAGGCGGUUUGGUAAGUCGGGUGUGAAAACUCAGGGCUUAACCCUGAGACGCCACCCGAUACUGCCAUGACUUGAGUACGGUAGGGGAGCGGGGAACUCCUGGUGUAGCGGUGAAAUGCGCAGAUAUCAGGAAGAACACCGGUGGCGAAGGCGCCGCUCUGGGCCGUAACUGACGCUGAGGAGCGAAAGCGUGGGUAGCAAACAGGAUUAGAUACCCUGGUAGUCCACGCCGUAAACGUUGGGCACUAGGUGUGGGUCUCAACUAACGAGAUCCGCGCCGUAGCUAACGCAUUAAGUGCCCCGCCUGGGGAGUACGGUCGCAAGACUAAAACUCAAAGAAAUUUGACCGGA